rnacentral:rRNA from 1 species
UGCAAGUCGAACGCUUCUUUUUCCACCGGUAGCUUGCUUCCACCGGAAAAAGAAGUAGUGGCGAACGGGUGAGUAACACGUGGGUAACCUGCCCAUCAGAAGGGGAUAACACUUGGAAACAGGUGCUAAUACCGUAUAACAAUCAAAACCGCAUGGUUUUGAUUUGAAAGGCGCUUUCGGGUGUCGCUGAUGGAUGGACCCGCGGUGCAUUAGCUAGUUGGUGAGGUAACGGCUCACCAAGGCCACGAUGCAUAGCCGACCUGAGAGGGUGAUCGGCCACAUUGGGACUGAGACACGGCCCAAACUCCUACGGGAGGCAGCAGUAGGGAAUCUUCGGCAAUGGACGAAAGUCUGACCGAGCAACGCCGCGUGAGUGAAGAAGGUUUUCGGAUCGUAAAACUCUGUUGUUAGAGAAGAACAAGGAUGAGAGUAACUGUUCAUCCCUUGACGGUAUCUAACCAGAAAGCCACGGCUAACUACGUGCCAGCAGCCGCGGUAAUACGUAGGUGGCAAGCGUUGUCCGGAUUUAUUGGGCGUAAAGCGAGCGCAGGCGGUUUCUUAAGUCUGAUGUGAAAGCCCCCGGCUCAACCGGGGAGGGUCAUUGGAAACUGGGAGACUUGAGUGCAGAAGAGGAGAGUGGAAUUCCAUGUGUAGCGGUGAAAUGCGUAGAUAUAUGGAGGAACACCAGUGGCGAAGGCGGCUCUCUGGUCUGUAACUGACGCUGAGGCUCGAAAGCGUGGGGAGCAAACAGGAUUAGAUACCCUGGUAGUCCACGCCGUAAACGAUGAGUGCUAAGUGUUGGAGGGUUUCCGCCCUUCAGUGCUGCAGCUAACGCAUUAAGCACUCCGCCUGGGGAGUACGACCGCAAGGUU